rnacentral:rRNA from 1 species
AUUGAACGCUGGCGGCAUGCCUAACACAUGCAAGUCGAACGCGAAAAGGCCUUGGCCUGAGUAGAGUGGCGGACGGGUGAGUAAUGCGUGGGAAUCUGCCUGGCAAUGGGGGACAACCCGGGGAAACCCGGGCUAAUACCGCAUACGCCCUACGGGGGAAAGGGGGCCGCAAGGCUCUCGUUGCCAGAUGAGCCCACGUCCGAUUAGCUAGUUGGUGGGGUAACGGCCCACCAAGGCCGCGAUCGGUAGCUGGUCUGAGAGGAUGGCCAGCCACACUGGGACUGAGACACGGCCCAGACUCCUACGGGAGGCAGCAGUGGGGAAUAUUGGACAAUGGGCGCAAGCCUGAUCCAGCAAUGCCGCGUGUGUGAAGAAGGCCUGCGGGUUGUAAAGCACUUUCAGUGGGGAAGAAAAGCGGGGCGUGAAUACCGCCUCGUCUUGACGUUACUCACAGAAGAAGCACCGGCUAACUCCGUGCCAGCCGCCGCCGUAACAC